GGCUCUGUAUCUCAGUUGGUUAGCACACCAGUCUAGUAAACUGAAGGUCGAGUGUUGGAGUCUCUCCGGAGCCU
rnacentral:tRNA from 1 species